rnacentral:rRNA from 1 species
GAGUUUGAUCCUGGCUCAGGACGAACGCUGGCGGCGUGCUUAACACAUGCAAGUCAAGGGGGCCCAGCAAUGGGCAACCGGCGAACGGGUGCGUAACACGUGAGCAACCUACCGAACUGUGGGGGAUAGCCGGCCUAACGGCCGAGUAAUACCGCAUACGCUUUCAGUGAGGCAUUUCAUUGAAAGGAAACCUACGGGACAGAUCGAGGGGCUCGCGGCCUAUCAGCUAGUUGGCGAGGUAACGGCUCACCAAGGCAACGACGGGUAGCUGGUCUGAGAGGAUGGCCAGCCACAUUGGGACUGAGAUACGGCCCAGACUCCUACGGGAGGCAGCAGUGGGGAAUCUUGCGCAAUGGCCUAACGGCUGACGCAGCGACGCCGCGUGUGGGAUGAAGCUCUUCGGAGUGUAAACCACUGUUGCCCGGGACGAACAGCUCGAUUUCUCGAGCCUGACGGUACCGGGUGAGGAAGCACCGGCUAACUCCGUGCCAGCAGCCGCAGU